CCUACGGGAGGCAGCAGUGAGGAAUAUUGGUCAAUGGGCGAGAGCCUGAACCAGCCAAGUCGCGUGAAGGAUGAAUGCCCUAUGGGUUGUAAACUUCUUUUAUAAAGGAAUAAAGCGAGGCACGUGUGCCUUUUUGUAUGUACUUUAUGAAUAAGGAUCGGCUAACUCCGUGCCAGCAGCCGCGGUAAUACGGAGGAUCCGAGCGUUAUCCGGAUUUAUUGGGUUUAAAGGGAGCGUAGAUGGGUUGUUAAGUCAGUUGUGAAAGUUUGCGGCUCAACCGUAAAAUUGCAAUUGAUACUGGCAGUCUUGAGUACAGUUGAGGUAGGCGGAAUUCGUGGUGUAGCGGUGAAAUGCUUAGAUAUCACGAAGAACCCCGAUUGCGAAGGCAGCUUACCAAACUGUGACUGACAUUGAUGCUCGAAAGUGUGGGUAUCAAACAGGAUUAGAUACCCUAGUAGUC
rnacentral:rRNA from 1 species